GGCGAGACCGCGGACGGCUCAUUAAAUCAGUCGUGGUCCAUAUGGGCUAGAGUUAAUCUUACUUGGAUAACUGUGGUAAUUCCAGAGCUAAUACAUGCAACUCAUGUCCCGAUGUUGCGCGAGCGUCAAACCUCGUUGCGCUGACGGAUGCUUUUAUUAGACCAAUCCGCUGGGCGUGCUCGUUUCGGCGGGCACGUAGGCCUCGCUAAGUGGUGACUCUGGAUAACCUUUUUGACAAGCGCACGUACUCCUAUGUGGGACGGCGCUGCCACUUUCGAGUGUCUGCCUUAUCAGCUAUCAACCGUUCGUUAUGUGCGACCGAUGGCUUUGACGGGUAACGGGGAAUCAGAGUUCGAUUCCGGAGAGGCAGCCUGAGAGACGGCUACCACGUCCAAGGACGGCAGCAGGCACGCAAAUUACCCAAUCCCAGCAAAUGGGGGAGGUAGUGACGAAAUCUAACGAUGCGGGCGCCCUUUCUAGGGCCCCGCAAUCGGAAUGGGCACUUUCUAAACAACCUGUUGAGAACCUACUGAAGGGCAAGUCUGGUGCCAGCAGCCGCGGUAAUUCCAGCUUCAGUAGCAUCUAUUAAAGUUGCUGCGGUUAAAAGGCUCGCAGUUGAAUGUCAGUAUCGAGCGCAGGCAGGUGGACGCUGGGGCGUGGGUAUUAACGGCUCGGUGUGGCUUGUGGGGUGUUGUGUGGUGCUUUGCGCUGCCUUCGCUCUCUACCCAUCGGGUUUCUCACAAGCUUCCGUCCGUGACAAGCCUCCUCGCUUGUGUACAUAACGGAAUCGGUCUCACGGAGUGUGAUUGUCGUGGGCGGGCUGGUCGCUGCUGUACCUUCGUGUGCGGUAGUUGGCUUGUUCGUUUGCGCUUUCACGUACAGCUCCGACGGUUUCACAGUCACCCUGAGUAAAUCAGAGUGCUCAAAGCAGUCGUAGGGGCCUUGCGCCCUCACAACAGUCUUGACAGACUUGGUUUUGCAUGGCAUGUCGAAAGACGACGUCUAGCGCUGGCUAUGAGGUCUUUUAUGGUGGUACAAGCCAGCCUAGACGUAAUGAUUAAAAGGGACAGUCGAGGGCAUUGGUAUUGCGAGGCGAGAGGUGAAAUUCUAUGACCCCCGCAAGACCGCCUGAAGCGAAAGCGUCUGCCAAGGAUGUUUUCAUUAAUCAUGAACGAAAGUUAGAGGAUCGAAGGCGAUCAGAUACCGCCCUAGUUCUAACCCUAAACGAUGCCAACCAUCAAUCCGCGCGUAGCACCAUUCAUAACGGGCUCGGCGGGCAGCUCCUUACUCACGGGAAACCAGAGUCUCUGGGUUCCGGGGGGAGUCUGGUUGCAAAGCUGAAACUUAAAGGA
rnacentral:rRNA from 1 species